rnacentral:rRNA from 1 species
UACGUAGGGUGCGAGCGUUGUCCGGAAUUAUUGGGCGUAAAGGGCUCGUAGGCGGUUUGUCACGUCGGCUGUGAAAUCCCGAGGCUCAACCUCGGGUCUGCAGUCGAUACGGGCAAACUAGAGUAUUGCAGGGGAGACUGGAAUUCCUGGUGUAGCGGUGAAAUGCGCAGAUAUCAGGAGGAACACCGGUGGCGAAGGCGGGUCUCUGGGCCGAUACUGACGCUGAGGAGCGAAAGCGUGGGGAGCGAACAGG